rnacentral:rRNA from 1 species
GGGAAUCUUCCGCAAUGGGCGAAAGCCUGACGGAGCAAUACCGCGUGAGGGAAGAAGGUCUGUGGAUUGUAAACCUCUUUUGUUAGGGAAGAUAAUGACGGUACCUAACGAAUAAGCAUCGGCUAACUCCGUGCCAGCAGCCGCGGUAAGACGGAGGAUGCAAGCGUUAUCCGGAAUUAUUGGGCGUAAAGCGUACGUAGGCGGUUUUAUAAGUCUGUUGUCAAAGCCCGAGGCUUAACCUUGGAAAGGCAAUGGAAACUGUAAGACUAGAGAGAGAUAGGGGCAGGAGGAAUUCCAGGUGUAGCGGUGAAAUGCGUAGAUAUCUGGAAGAACACCAGUGGCGAAAGCGUCCUGCUGGAUCUCAACUGACGCUGAAGUACGAAAGCUAGGGGAGCGAAUGGGAUUAGAUACCCCAGUAGUCAAUCGAA